GACGAACCGAGCGAACGUUGUUCGGAAUUACUGGGCGUAAAGCGCACGUAGGCGGCUUUCUAAGUCGGGGGUGAAAUCCUGGAGCUCAACUCCAGAACUGCCUUCGAUACUGGAAAGCUCGAGUCCGGGAGAGGUGAGUGGAACUGCGAGUGUAGAGGUGAAAUUCGUAGAUAUUCGCAAGAACACCAGUGGCGAAGGCGGCUCACUGGCCCGGUACUGACGCUGAGGUGCGAAAGCGUGGGGAGCAAACAGG
rnacentral:rRNA from 1 species